GGCACACAUGGACCUUGGACUUCUCCUCAGUUUCAUUUUCCACAUUUCCUGCUGAUUUGAUUAACUUUGUAAAUGAUCACCUAACAAAGGAGACUCGGAGCACCAAGUCGGAUUGGAUGUUGGUGAACUCUCUUAAAGACUGCUGAGGGAUAUCAUGACUCCAGAAGGCGCUGUAUAAAAAUAUGGAUGGAUGGAUUGUUGAGAGUCAGCAUGUGGCGCCAAUUCUUAAAUGAACUACAAAUCAGCUCCUCUGAGAAGACACCCAAUGAGAGCAUCUGACCCUGCCCACAGUGCCCUGUGAAUGCCUGCCCCUUCAGCACAAUGCCUAUAAAAGCAGGACCUCCCUGGAAGGAGGCGUCUCAUUUGGAACGGAGUACCCAAGCUGACCUGCUCUUCAGAGAGAAUUCAUACAAAAGGUUUGCAGCCCUACAUUUACUGAAGAGGACUUGUGAUUCCUCACUCGACCACACCAGGAAGCAGACCAGAAUCUCCACCAGCCCGCCCAGGAAGGGUGCACACAGAAAUCUCCAUAAAUCAAAAAGUAAAGGGUAUAAACUCUAAAGAAAAAGCCUUUGACUUAAGCACAAAGCAAUCCCAAGAAAUUGUUAUAAAUAAAAAUAUUUAUUUAACAAGAAACUCAACAAAAAAUGUUGCCAACGGGCUAUCUAAAUACAACAAAUUUUGAAACACAAUCCUUAAAUCACUUGCAAAUUAGUCAAAACAGAGCAAAUAUACAAAGAAGAAAGCAACAUUCACAAAAAUGACCAAACUCCACCAAAGCACAAGCAAAAUGAACCGCCUCGGGACUUCACUUCCCUGUUUGCCUUUAUUGUCUGGGGGCGGUCCCUUAAAGAUGAUUGACAGGUGACCCUGCCUCUUGGGGAUCCACCCACAAAGUACACGCAACAUGAGAGAAUUGAAUAAUCUGCAUAGAGACUAAAUGAUAACCAAAUGGAAUACAAUUAACAGAAAAUAUCUAAUUAGAAAAAUAAUAAAUUAACAGAAACAGAACAAUAGGUUAAAAACAUAUGUGCCACUUAAAACGGCACCCUUGGCAUUCAUCUGUGUCACCUAACAGAUUGAUGGGCUCUGCGUCAUUCAUUCUUACACAUGAAAUACAUAUCCUGGCCAAUUAAAUCCCCUGGGAUUCAAUGUUGUAUAACAUUAAAUGUGAAAACUUUCAUGGGGGUGAAGAUGUUUUAUGGACACAAAACGUUUACAGUGGGCAACUUCAGUGCCAAAAACUGAACUCACGUCUUGGAGAGGUGAGACUGCACUGCUGGCCACUUUGACGUGAAAUGUAUAAAUGCAAAAAUAAUGAAGAUGCUCUUCCUACACAGCCGACCAUCUCGUGUUUGUUUGUUUGUUUGCAAAUCGAGUGCCUCAUUCCCGACAAAUUUCUAGGAAGCUCAGCCAUUUGUCAUACUGUUCCGAGGUCAGCGUUAUUUUUGGCUGACGGGAAGUUAGCGACACAAGGGCAGGCACUCUUUGCUCUAAGCUGCUGACUCGGUUCCUUUAGGACAAUGCUCAGCACAGCCAUCGCGUGACUUGAAGCAAAGCGAUAAGAGCUUCUGCAAAGUUUCCAGAAAUUCAACAGGAAUCUUUUUUUUUUUAUUUUCCUAAUGGCAGGAUUCCCAGCUUUAGUUGAAAGUAAAACAGAACAGGCUGAGAGGCAGGACGUCCUGCUUGCUGGAGAGCAAAGUCCUGGGGUUUAAGGAGGACUAGCAAAGGGUCAUCCAUGAA